rnacentral:rRNA from 1 species
UACGGAGGGUGCUAGCGUUGUUCGGAAUUACUGGGCGUAAAGGGCGCGUAGGCGGCCGUUUGCGUCGGAUGUGAAAGCCCGGGGCUCAACCUCGGAACGGCAUUCGAUACGGGACGGCUGGAGACCGGGAGAGGAGAGUGGAAUAGCCAGUGUAGAGGUGAAAUUCGUAGAUAUUGGCUGGAACACCGGUGGCGAAGGCGGCUCUCUGGCCCGGUUCUGACGCUGAGGCGCGAAAGCGUGGGGAGCAAACAGG